rnacentral:rRNA from 2 species
CGAUGAGUGCUAGGUGUUGGAGGGUUUCCGCCCUUCAGUGCCGCAGCUAACGCAUUAAGCACUCCGCCUGGGGAGUACGACCGCAAGGUUGAAACUCAAAGGAAUUGACGGGGGCCCGCACAAGCGGUGGAGCAUGUGGUUUAAUUCGAAGCAACGCGAAGAACCUUACCAGGUCUUGACAUCCUUUGACCACUCUAGAGAUAGAGCUUUCCCUUCGGGGACAAAGUGACAGGUGGUGCAUGGUUGUCGUCAGCUCGUGUCGUGAGAUGUUGGGUUAAGUCCCGCAACGAGCGCAACCCUUAUUACUAGUUGCCAGCAUUUAGUUGGGCACUCUAGUGAGACUGCCGGUGACAAACCGGAGGAAGGUGGGGACGACGUCAAAUCAUCAUGCCCCUUAUGACCUGGGCUACACACGUGCUACAAUGGAUGGUACAACGAGUUGCGAGACCG